rnacentral:lncRNA from 1 species
AAAUAUUUGUUUCCUUGCUGGCCCAACGGGAACUGUUAGGUGUGGGCCUGAAGCAGUGAUGGAGCACCUGGUGGGAGUGUGGACAGCCCAGGGAGCACAGGUGGAAGCAAUUCUUCUGUGGAGUGAGAUGGGGUGGAGCCAGGCUGCAUCCCCCUCUGAGCUCAUGGAAGGGCUGGCAGUCACAGGGGAAGGAUCUGUGCCUGGAUGCUGCCAUUUGUGUUGUGUUGGGCGAGUCCUGAGCCUUGGGAAGGGUUGAGGAGUUGUUUGUUUGCUCAUUCAUGAUUGUCUCUGUGUGUUUUUGUUCGGGAGGUGGUUGCAGAUGCCAGGAGUUUUCCUGAGUGGUGCAAGGACUCUACUGAGGAUCUUAGUGGACCCAGCGAGGAACCAAAGCAAAGGAUGGACCCCAAUAUCCUUGCUGCAUGACGGCAGGCAAGCUCUAUUGCUCCCAGAGAGUGUUGUUGCUAUUCGGGCCGUUCAGUAUGAUUGGUAUCAGCUUGUUGGUCCAGCUUGACCAACACUCACCACGUCUGUCCCUGCACCAGCUGCCUUUAGGUGUCGAUCAAGUGGCAGUGGAGAGUUGUGACCCUCCCAAAGGGUGCAAGGACUCUACUGAGGCUCUUGGUGGACACAGCAGGAACCCACAGCCAGAGAUGGAUGCCAAGAUCUGCUUAUUCCUCUGUCUGGCAAGCUCUGCUGACCCCGGAGGUCGUUUCCACGCUUGCAGGGGUCCUAUAGGCUUGGUGUUGGUUGUUGCUUGUCCUCACCUUGCUGUCACCGGGUGUUCUUCUUUUGCCCAUUUUUAGGGCUCCCCAGUUCUGAUGGGAUCUCCAUGUCUUCUGUUGAUCCCAGAGUACUUCGAUUUGUUAUUUUAUUUUCAGGUUCAGUACCAUUUCAUGCUUUUAUGCUGUGUUUUUUCUUCCUUCCUUUUGUUUUACAGGCUGGAAAUGUACACCUGAUGGGAUCUAUGAUGACCCAAAUGCAGUCUAGGAAGGUUUGACCAAGUGUGGUGGGAAAGGAAGAGGAUUGGGGAUGUCAGCACCAGAUGCCGUUGCACUUUGUGACCUACCCGCCUUGCGUCUUUGAUGUGCCCAGAUCAUUGGAAAGGGGUAAGAGAUCUGUAUUUCAUUAUUAGAAGGUGAUCUCUACUUACCUUGUCUUGUGUCCAUCAGGUGGCAGUGGAGAGUUGUUGAGGGAUGGCUCCACAGCCAAGGGGGCCGUGGGUCUCUUGAACAGUUGUACAAGCAGAACAGGCCUAACAAUUGGUAGGAGUUACAAAUGGAAAAGUACUAGCUCAUUAUAAUGGCUGUGAGCUCGGGUGCUAUGUGCACAACCCAGGCUAUGAGACCUUGAAGCUGUCAAAGCAGGAAGAAAAACUGAGGCUUCAGUUAAGAUAAAGGGGUAGCUCUCCUGGGAAGAGAGAAAGACAGUGGAAUGGUAUGAAAACACGCAUGACCAAUGGUAUUGUUAGGUAGGAGGCUUUUCACAAUGCUCCAACCAAUUACAAGCUGAUGCAUUUGCUACAAUCUAUAUAUGUGUGUAAGAAGCGGAAAAUAAAUGGAAAUUCUGAUGCACUCAUAUUGGGUCAUGUCAUUACUCCCCACGCGGCUCGGCCAGCAAAUGGAUGAUUCCGGUUUUGAACCCUUGGGGGUCCACAACAUCUGGCACCUGAACAGGGACCUGAGAAACUGGGAUUGAAGGUCAGAAUGUUUGUGUAGCGUGAUUCGGACCAAGAGCAGUAACGUUGCAGUGGCAAGUUGGGGGGCAGCAUUGCCUAGACUGACUAAAAGGGGUCUGCACAAGAUCUGGAGGGCUCUAUUGGGCACUGCGUACGGCGCACAGCGGUGGGAUGCGGAGUGCACGGCACAGCGCACAGCGGUGGGACGCAGAACGCACAGCGGUUAGACGUG